rnacentral:pre_miRNA from 1 species
AUCACUUAGCAUCUUAUUAAAAUGCAGAUUCUGAUUCAAGGGAUCUGGGUGGAUCCUGAGAUUCUGCAUUUCUAACAAGCUCUCAGGUGAUACCGA